GGUUACACAUUGUUUUCCAUUUUUGAAUAUUUCUGUUGAAUUUGUAUAUUGCAGUACAAACACCGAGCUCGUGUUGUUCAGCUCUUCUGCCAUACAAAUAACUUCAGCCAGAACUGAGCACCCAGCAUUCAAGGCGAAUAGUUUGACCAAUAACAACAGGGGCAUUGUUGCGAGAACCUCCUGCACGGAGCAUUUCAAGGACUUCACAAAGGAGCUUCGCUAUCCUUUGACUGAUGACAUUUCUGGGCCUUAAAUGGAUACCAAUGGGUCUAACGAGCUGUGGGACAGGCUCCCACGAUUCGUGGAUAAACUAUAUUCCAAAAUUUGCCAUUAAUCAUCGAUGUUCAAACGAAAUUGCCUAGAAAUCGCCAGCCAAGCCAAACAAGCUCAAACUCUUUGCAUAAAUCUCGCCCAACUUUUGCAGCCGUUUGAAAUAAAAAGGGGAGCAGGACUAAAACUGUGCAAAAAUUCAACGAAAAUGGAGCAAAAUCUGGAACACUAUUGGCCAAAAGGAGUCAACUUUGACAACGCUUUCCGUGCUCCAUUCGCCGGAUCCAGCGAAGCCAGUUAACCGCAAUAAUUUAUGCCUUUGAGCCGUGUUUGAGUCAAAGUCUUUUGUCUCUGUGUGUGUGGUGUGGGUUUGCGUGGCCACAUAAUUUUGCCUAUUAAAGUGAAACACUAACAGCGCUUAUCAUUACAGCAGAGCACCGGAAAAACAAGGCAAACAACAGCGAGCAUCUCAGCUGCGUGGCGCAUCCUUUCGUCGACGCCAUUUUGUUUAGUUUAUGCCGUGCCAGUGUGUGUGUGUGUCUGUGUGUUAGUGUGCUAGUGUGUGUUUGGGUGUCAGUAUGCGGCUGUGUGUGUCUGACGGGGAAGUCCCUGCCUCGCACUUCCUAAUGCAAAAAAGCGACUUUUCAGCACAAAUUUUUAGCAAAAUUAAAAUAUUUAUGUUGCCGACGUGCUUAAUGCCCGUGCUGUUUCGCCCCAAAACCCGUGCACCCACUUCCCCAACUUUACGCCCCCCUCUUGUUUAGUUUUCGGAGUGUAUGGGUUUCCUGGUCGGGACUACGUGCGUGGUACGGAUGCUAGCAAUGAUGAGCAGCGGUUGGGUACACUACCCGCGAAAGGGUAUUGCAUUGGCCUGCCACGAGUUUGAUGGGAAACUCUAAGGAAUCCUUGGAAAGUCCUUUAACGCUUGUCUAAGCCUAAAAGCCAAUCUCAACUGAUGAAUACUCAGUCGUCACGAAAGAUAUAUAAAAAAAUACAGCAAGUGGCAAACUUUAAAGAAGAAAAGAAAAUAUUUUAAAAUUUUUACUUAAAAAACAUCACCAUUAAUGCCGUUCAGCUCAUCCAGAGCAUUUCCCAUUCGAUAUUCACCAUUUAAUUAUAUAUUCCUCUCCAGUUUUAAUGUUGAGCUCCCACACACACACACACACACACGCGUAUACGCUCACGCUCACCCACACUCACGCAUCCUGGGGCAAAUGCCCUGCAUUAACUUCCUUCCUGUCCCGCUCUCUCUUUCGGCGUAAGGACGACACUGCCACUUAAUGUUCGCGCUUUAGCAAUAUGAAAUGCAGGACGAGGGUGCUCCGUUUUGCCACGGUUUCCGCGGCAAGCUGCAGUUGCUGCCAUAUUAAAAACAAUAUAUUUGCGUCAACUUUCGCACUGGUCAUUUAUGGCCUUCAAUGGCCAUUAACUAUUUACAUUUCCGGCUGCACUUUGUGCUCUCACAUGAUUUACACAUUUGCGGGCAUUUUUAAAGUGUCAUUAAGAUGAUGGAGCAAGAAACCGAAACCGGGGGAAAAAAGUAAAUUAAAGCAAACGCCUUAGGCGUUGUUCCACUUAUUCUGCAGAUACUUGCUUGCUCUACCGGCCUUUAUUUUUUCUGUAUCUUUUUAACGCUUGCCCUUUACAUUUCCCAUUUGCUGUCUGCUCCUUGUUAAAAACGCUCGAAAUUUAUGACUAUUCUGGGACCUGCGGCAGCUUGCGGCUGAAAUGCUCUUAGAUUUUUCCACUCUGCCUUCUGCGGUUUGCUUCCACUGGGCUCUUUUUGCCAUCCAUUGUCCUGGAUUGUGGUCACAGGGUUUAAAGUUUAAGCAAUUGCAGAUUUGCCUUUUAAUUGUUGCCCCUGUUUUGGUCCAGAAAGCAAGAAAUACAUUUGGCA